rnacentral:misc_RNA from 1 species
AAGUCGUAACAAGGUUUCCGUAGGUGAACCUGCGGAAGGAUCAUUAACACGUUCUAAACGUAUCAACCAAACCGCGAACUCUGACGUUAGUAGUCACUCUCUCGAAAGGGAGAGCUGAUUACGCCUGAGCAUGUUAGGGGAAACAGUGCUGUCAUGGUGCUGCUCCUUUAACACUGUUCAUAUUAACCCAAACCCUAUUUGUUGUUUAUUUCUUUUUGUAAAGGACGUGGCGUUCAUCGCUAUUGUCUUUUAUUACAAACUUGUACAACUCUUAGCAACGGAUGUCUUGGUUUCC